rnacentral:rRNA from 1 species
GAUGAACGCUGGCGGCGUGCCUAAUACAUGCAAGUCGAGCGAACAGACGAGGAGCUUGCUCCUCUGACGUUAGCGGCGGACGGGUGAGUAACACGUGGAUAACCUACCUAUAAGACUGGGAUAACUUCGGGAAACCGGAGCUAAUACCGGAUAAUAUAUUGAACCGCAUGGUUCAAUAGUGAAAGACGGUUUUGCUGUCACUUAUAGAUGGAUCCGCGCCGCAUUAGCUAGUUGGUAAGGUAACGGCUUACCAAGGCAACGAUGCGUAGCCGACCUGAGAGGGUGAUCGGCCACACUGGAACUGAGACACGGUCCAGACUCCUACGGGAGGCAGCAGUAGGGAAUCUUCCGCAAUGGGCGGAAGCCUGACGGAGCAACGCCGCGUGAGUGAUGAAGGUCUUCGGAUCGUAAAACUCUGUUAUUAGGGAAGAACAAAUGUGUAAGUAACUAGGCACGUCUUGACGGUACCUAAUCAGAAAGCCACGGCUAACUACGUG